rfam:Triticum aestivum genome assembly, contig: Triticum_aestivum_CS42_TGACv1_scaffold_238439_3B
CAAGUAUGCCCUCCGUCCGGAAUUACUUGUCAUCAAAAUGGAUGUGUCUAGAACUAAAAUACAUCUAGAUACAUACAUUUCAAUGACAAGUAUUUUCGGACAAAGGGAGUACAAG